GAGUUCAGUGGUGUGCUCUCCAAUCUAGGGGAGAUACCAUGAUCACGUAGGCGGUUUUCCCAGGACGGGGCUUACCCAUUGCACUCCGGAUGUGCUGACCGCUGCGAAUUCCCCAAAUGUGGGAAACUCGACUGCAUAAUUUGUGGUAGAGGUGGGAAGAGAGUGGUGUAGGGAGAGAGAA